rnacentral:rRNA from 1 species
CAAGUCGAACGAUGAAGCUGGAGCUUGCUCCGGCGGAUUAGUGGCGAACGGGUGAGUAACACGUGAGCAAUCUGCCCUUGACUCUGGGAUAACUGCGGGAAACUGUAGCUAAUACCGGAUACGACGCCUUGGGGCAUCCCACGGGCGUGGAAAGAAUUUCGGUCAAGGAUGAGCUCGCGGCCUAUCAGCUUGUUGGUGAGGUAAUGGCUCACCAAGGCGACGACGGGUAGCCGGCCUGAGAGGGUGACCGGCCACACUGGGACUGAGACACGGCCCAGACUCCUACGGGAGGCAGCAGUGGGGAAUAUUGCGCAAUGGGCGAAAGCCUGACGCAGCAACGCCGCGUGAGGGAUGAAGGCCUUCGGGUUGUAAACCUCUUUUAGCAGGGAAGAAGCGAAAGUGACGGUACCUGCAGAAAAAGCACCGGCUAACUACGUGCCAGCAGCCGCGGUAAUACGUAGGGUGCAAGCGUUAUCCGGAAUUAUUGGGCGUAAAGAGCUCGUAGGCGGUUUGUCACGUCUGCUGUGAAAAUCUGAGGCUCAACCUCGGACUUGCAGUGGGUACGGGCAGACUAGAGUGCGGUAGGGGAGAAGGGAAUUCCUGGUGUAGCGGUGGAAUGCGCAGAUAUCAGGAGGAACACCAAUGGCGAAGGCACUUCUCUGGGCCGUAACUGACGCUGAGGAGCGAAAGCGUGGGGAGCGAACAGGAUUAGAUACCCUGGUAGUCCACGCCGUAAACGUUGGGCGCUAGAUGUGGGUCACAUUCCACGUGAUCCGUGUCGCAGCUAACGCAUUAAGCGCCCCGCCUGGGGAGUACGGCCGCAAGGCUAAAACUCAAAGGAAUUGACGG